CUAGAUUCUACCUCCUUACCUUUGAGGAAUCAUAAUAAGGGAGAUUAAAUCAUGUAGAUCUGGGUCUGCCAAAGAAUCCAUUCUACAAAACUUUUAGCAGCCUUCAUCUGUCUGGAUUGAGAAUCCCUUCCAGGCAGUGUUGCCUCAUCAGACAAUCGUCUGGUCCGGCUGCAGUCUGGCUGUCCUGCCUCACUUUCUUCUAUUUAGUCCCGUGUUUUCUGUGCCUCUC
rnacentral:lncRNA from 1 species